UUCAUCAGUGUCUGGCGCCCGUGUUUAACGGGUCCUCACAGCCACCUGCUCUGGUCCAGUUUGUGGAUGCUCCUCCGUCGCAUGCUGGCAGUGAGGCGGAGCAUCGAGUACUGUCAUCGGAGCUGCUGCAUCCUCAGGCAGAUCGAAAUCUGUGAAUCUGUGAAAGGUGUGUGCUGUGAAAACAACAUUCAUGAGGUGUGAAUUUAUUUAUUUAUUUAAAGAUAAAAUUAAGUAUUUAUUUAUUGACCAAUUUCUAUAUAUAUAUAUAUAUAUAUAUAUAUAUAUAUAUAUCAUUCCACAUUUAUUUUAUUUUGUCCUCCAUACAACUCAAGUAAGCACUGUUGUACUGAUGUCAAUUUUCCCACAAAAGAAGAGGCAAAAUAAACCAGGCAAUGUGAUAGUGUCUGUAAAACUGCAUGUGUUAAAUAUAUGGCUAAAAUAAACAUUAUCGUACUGCUACCAAUGUAUCUCGAGAAAGUAAGUAAACAAAAGUACAUUUCCCCCUGGAGUGCGAAUAUUUCCAGUUCGAAACAACCUUAUUAUAAGUUACCGCUGAAAACAUCACACCCCGUUAACGUUUGGGGCGCAGGAUUUUGUUUGUCGAUCCACGAAAUCCGGCAAUUUCAAAAUGAGAGUGCGAGGACAGCGGUGGUUUUUGUCACUUGCACUGUGCUUGCGAUGGACCCGCUCUAUGCAGAUUAUCUUGCCUUGCUAACGAGAGGAUGCAUUUUGGAAGGAUCUUCCUGAGGAAACCGAUUGCGUCUUCACCCUUUUCGUUCUCGGCGAGGCCUACUAUUCUCAGAUCGGAGCGCCUGCUUCUGUUGUCCAUCUCAGCUCCGCUAACGCCUGGGUGCGUGUCAGGCUAAGUUUGUCGCUCUCGCGAGGUUCAUUAAAGUCUCCUUACCAAGGCUUAGGGACCAUCUGACAUUUCACGCUGUCCGCCGAGCCCUGUCGGAGAGAGACGCCAAACUCUCCCUGCCCCCCCUCGGCCCCCGUUUUGGGACCGGCCACAAAGGUCAGGCGUGACGUGGCGCUUGUUUUGCAAAGCACGUUUUGGCAUGCGAGGGGCUUAUUAAACACACUAAUGAAGUUUUUUCUCAGGAAAGCACAUCUCAUUAAAGGACACGGAGCACAAGAGGGACACCCGCACCGCCUCCGGCAGAACAGAGCGGCGAACAUCGCCACGGAGACCCGCGCAUUCCCCGUUUAAAAACAUUAAACCUAUCUGACGCAAGA